rnacentral:lncRNA from 1 species
UCCCCUUCACUCUCUCUCUCUUUAGACUGUUCCUUUGUGUUUGAGUUCUUGAUCAUGAGCAGCUAGCCACCCCUUUGCCGUCAACUCGUGAUGGCAAAGGGGUGGCACGCGCGUAGCCCAAGACUCACUAUUGUUGUCUGGAGGGAGCUGCUGGUGAUUUUGUCUACUUUUAUCUUUGUCCCAAGGUAAGGAAAUUGCCAUUUUAUUCAAUUUUAUGGUGAUUUUCUAGUUAUGAAUAGGGCAACUUGUAUCCUUUGGCAUUUUCACUUCCCUUUGAGUACUCUCUUAAUGAGCUCUUGGAAGUUUUUAACUAUAGUAAAACAAUAAUUCAAGUAGGAUUUGUGUAGUCCUAUUUGUACUUUGUUGAACAUGUUUGGUGUAUUAAUAAAUGUUGUGUAGUACUUUGGGAAGAACUAGUUGAACAUGUAUUACUAGUAUAUAUUUGGCCAGUACUGGCUAUAAUAAUUAAAGUAUUGUUUUCUGUUAAUGUUUGAAGAGUGUUUAUUAUACAUUGUUGUUGACUUCGUACAUCAUGUUUUUGCGUAUAGAUGUUGCAAUAUAAUAUAAUCAAUAAAUAUUGAAGAGGAUAUGAAAUUUUUUAUUUAUUUUUUUAAAAUGUUUGAUAACUUCAAUUGUUACUUUCAUGCCUCGACGUGAUUGGAAAUGUAUAAAUAUUUUCGUGUGUUUAACAAUGAGGUUUGUUAAGCCAUGUUGGUCACUAUCAUAAUUUGUAGUUUGAUACUUAAUUAAGCUAAUUGCACUUUAUGUUGCAAAAUACCUUGGGUAUAAUAACUUGAAUGGAAUUAUCCUCUUAUCUUGUGAUUACAAGUGUAGAUUGUUCAUUUGUGCCAUUUUCUGACUAAGAGAUGCUGGAUCUUACUUUUUCUUAAAUGUAAUAAUUAUUACGUUGAGCCUUGAAGAAUAGACAAUCACUUGUUAUUACGUUAAAAAUAAAAAAUAAAAAAAUUCAAGAUAAAAUGAAAUGAAUCAAAAUAUAAUUAAGUUUAUAGCGUAUUGUGCAAACACGAUUAGAAAGUGAUUUAACCUGCGUGAUUAGUGGUGAAAGAGGGAUAGGUCCCUAGAAGGAUUUUAGGGAAUAGAAAGGACAAGUGAAUUAUAGAGCUAAUUAAGAUAAGAGGAAAUUAGAGAUUUUGCCCAUUGAGAUUGAGCAUGACGAGCCACAACUGAUCCAAUAUUGAGAUAAAAAAGGAAAAACUUCCUUAGAUUACAACCCCUCACCCCACGCACCCCACCCCCACAAUAUAUAUACACACAUUUUUUGUUUGUGUCAAGACGAAUUUUACACACAUAAUUUAAGCACUCUUUUUCACAGAGUUUGAUAGUCAUAAUGUUAUCAUGAUGUGCUGAAAUAAUGGAGACACAAAAGGUAAUAACAAGUGCUACAUGUACUUAGACUUAGAUUAGCACUACUUAAUACAUACUCCUUGAAUACUAGUAUUCUCUUUGUUUCUAUUUACUUGUCACCCUUCUAAGUUGCACAUGUAGUUAAAAAAUUAUUCAAUAAAAUUAUUCUUAUUUAUUACUCAUCUUUAUUUAAUGCUUUUUUUUUUUUUUAUAAUAUACUAAUAUCUCUUCAUAUUUAUUACAAAGGAUAAAAGUAAAAAAAAAUCGAUUGUGUCUUGAGUUUAUGAAAUGACUAGUAUAAGGAACAUCUAUUUUUAGCAUGCACGACAACUAAUUAGGAAAGGUGAGAGUAUCAAUUUAUGUGACACCAUUUGACUUGACAUAAAAAUUAAGAAAGAAAUGAAAUAUCUUAAAAUUUAUGAUCUAAAACAAGUCUUAGACAUUUAAAUAACUAUAAAUCAUAUCAUUGAAGAUAAAAGAGGUAUUUUGAAAUUAAAUUCUUUUUAAUUACAGAAAGACGGCUCAGUUUCUUUUGAACGAACUGAAAAAAAAUGUAUUACAUAAAUUGAAAUAGAAAGUAUCAAAUUACCAAUAGUAUAAUUCAUAACCACCUAUGUAACUAUAGUCACCUAGUUAAAUGUUAAUAAGUUGUCAUCGAGUGAUAGGGGCGCAAAGGGAUCAAAAAAGAAAGCCACUUCAUCGGAAAAGUAUAUUGAAUAAAUAAAAUUAUUUUUUUAUAUAUAUAAUGAUGUUGAAUCUUCUUAUUUUGUUAUAUAUGUUUACUUCUUAAUAUUUAACAUCCCAUUAAUGAACAUAUUGUAUCCAAUUUUUUAAAGGCAGAGGCGUAAAACAAGACAUUUUAUCUGAUAUGAGGCGAAGCGUAAGUCUCG